UACAGAGGAGCCAAGCGUUGUCCGGAUUGACUGGGCGUAAAGCGCACGCAGGCGGACGCGCGCGUGGGGUGUGAAAUCUGGCCGCUUAACGGCCAGGCGCCAUCCCAUACGGCGCGUCUGGAGUGAUGCAGAGGUCGGUGGAAUUGCCGGUGUAGUGGUGAAAUGCGUAGAGAUCGGGAGGAACAUCAGUGGCGAAGGCGGCCAUCUGGGACAACACUGACGCUGAAGCACGAAAGCGUGGGGAGCAAACAGG
rnacentral:rRNA from 1 species